rnacentral:rRNA from 1 species
GACGAACGCUGGCGGCGUGCUUAACACAUGCAAGUCGAACGAGAAUCUACUGAAAGAGUUUUCGGACAAUGGAUGUAGAGGAAAGUGGCGGACGGGUGAGUAACACGUGGGUAACCUGCCUCAUAGAGGGGGAUAACGAUUGGAAACGAUCGCUAAUACCGCAUAAGCCCACAGUACCGCAUGGUACAGAGGGAAAAAGAUUUUCCAUCGCUAUGAGAUGGACCCGCGUCAGAUUAGCUGGUUGGUGGUGUAAACGGACCACCAAGGCAACGAUCUGUAGCCGGACUGAGAGGUUGAACGGCCACAUUGGGACUGAGACACGGCCCAAAACUCCUACGGGAGGCAGCAGUUGGGGAAAUAUUGCACAAUGGGGGAAACCCUGAUGCAGCGACGCCGCGUGGGUGAAAGAAGUUUUUCGGAAUGUAAAAGCCCUAUCAGCA